AAUUGAUAUAUGAACCAAAAAAUGAAAGACAACAUUGAUUAAUUUAAAAGUUGAGAACUAAAAUGUGGAUUUAAAAAAAAAAUUCAAGGACACAUUUGAUAAACCUCAUUUUAAAUAAAUUUUUUUAUAAAAAAAAGUGGGUCUCUUAAAAAACAAGAAAGAAAAAGGGCUAGCAUUUUUAUUACGAAAGGCCACUUUAAAAAGAAAAAGCAAAAGAUGAUUUGGUUAUCCCAUCCCAUCUCACCCCAAGUAUAAAAAUACAAAAUAAAAUAAAU
rnacentral:lncRNA from 1 species